rnacentral:misc_RNA from 1 species
CUGUGAUGGCACAAGGGGACUAUAAACUAUGCCUGGCUCCAAAAUCUCACCAAGAACUAAUAUGCCACCACCACUGCCCUCUCCUUUCAAGCAAUGAGAGAAUACUCUGGGUGUUAUCCCAUGGGAUGACAGUUGUGAUACGACGGAGAGACCCCCUUGGCCAAAUCCAAAUAUUCCAUCAACUGCUUUAUCAGUCUUAGUCAAGUCCCCAGACUGGAAAGUGCUGCAUCCAAAGACAAUGACAGCUGAAGAGUUGGCAAUCGAGGACUUGCCCAAAACAGCAUCAAAAUAAAAUGCAUCAGCUACAUAAUAACCAGUUGUCCCACUUCCAUCUCCGUAUUGGAAUGAGUAAAUGCACUGAUUACUCUGAGGAGAGCAUUGAGUUGCUGCGGUCUGAAUUUCUGAAGUACAAAUAGGGUGUGA